UCUCUCUCUCUUUCUUUCUUCCCAUCAUCUUCUCCUAAAUUUCUCCAAGAAGUUGGCAUCACUCAACUGCUCGUGCUCCAUUAAAGCUAGUUGGUGCUGAGAAUUGUCUAAUUUGAACAACUUUAGAGCUGAAAGCAUCUCUCCCCACACCAUGGCUAAAGCUACACAGUGAGCACCUGGAAACUGGGAUCAAGAUCGUAGAGACUCCGACGAGGCACAAGGUAAUGAGAUUCUCUGAACACCACCGCAGCAGCCACAACUGGACAGCGACGCUGGUGCCCUUAAUACUCAGGCAUUCAGUGGCUCCAUGAACAGAUCAAGUCUCACAUCGUCAGCACGCGGUCAGAACUUCUCUAGAGCCCAAACAGUCUCAUCUGCACCGCAGAGACCAACAUACUGCGGAGCUCCAACAUCACACCAGAGAGUACCUCCUUUAUGCCAAGAAUGCGGAGGUCUUCUCCGACGAGCGCAGGCGAACAGCAAUGACGUCACUGAAGUUGAGAAGCUGCAUGAUGCAUCCUUUGCAGCUUAGCCGAAGCGCUUAUCAUGAACAGUAGAAGACUCGGUGAAGAUCACCGGUAUAGUGCCUUGUCUAGGCUUGUAUUACCCAGCCAUUGACAUCCCUCAGAUCGCCCACUUUCUCUUUAUAAUGAUAUGUGAUCGCCGAGCCAAGCAUGUAAACAUACACCAGGAUGAGACAUUGCCCUUCAAUAUCUCAUUUCAAUGUUCCACACUUCGAGCAGUCCAUAUUUGUCAUUUGUAGUAUAUAACCAACAUGAACUCCAUUGCUUCAUUCACCAUGGUAACAGUUGUGAAUGAAAGGGAGGGAGAAGAUGACUACUUGGAACCUGGACAAUCAUCGCAGCAACAGCAAUCGCAGUGAUGAUAAUGACAGUGGGGAUCGUGAGCCACCGGUGCCGAUGAUGAAAGGAUUUGAGAGGGGAUUCAUGGCAGAGGGUUUGGCGGAGAGAGAGACAGCACGAACUCUCGAAAAUGGGGUAGAGAGAGAGCACAAGGGACAAGGAAUACAUGCAUCUGCAUGCAUGCAUGUUUUUUU